GAUGAACGCUGGCGGCGUGCUUAACACAUGCAAGUCGAACGGAAAGGCUCCUGCUUGUUGGGGUACUUGAGUGGCGAACGGGUGAGUAAGACGUGGGUGAGCAGCCCUGCCCUUUGGGCUAAGCAUGGGAAACAGGGUCUAACUCAGGAUAGGACUUCUUUUUGGAUGGUGUGGUGGAAAGUGUUUCGGUGGGGGAUGAGCUCGCGGCCGAUCAGCUUGUUGGUGGGGUAAUGGCCUAUUAAGGCGUCGACGGGUAGCCGGCCUGAGAGGGUGUGCGGCCACAGUGGGACUGAGAUACGGCCCAGACUCGUACGGGAGGCAGCAGUGGGGAAGAUUGCACAAUGGGCGCAAGCCUGGUGCAGCGACGCCGCGUUCGGGAUGACGGCCUUCGGGUUGUGAGCACCUGUCGCUAGGGUCGUAGCGGGAGUGACGGUACCUGGAUAAGAAGCACCGGCUAACUACGUG
rnacentral:rRNA from 1 species